rnacentral:rRNA from 1 species
GAUGAACGCUGGCGGUAUGCUUAACACAUGCAAGUCCAACGGACUCUUCGGAGUUAGUGGCGGACGGGUGAGUAACGCGUGAGAAUCUGGCUUUGGGUUCGGGACAACCACUGGAAACGGUGGCUAAUACCGGAUGUGCCGAGAGGUAAAAGAGAAAUUGCCUGAAGAUGAGCUCGCGUCUGAUUAGCUAGUUGGUGAGGUAAAGGCUCACCAAGGCAGCGAUCAGUAGCUGGUCUGAGAGGAUGACCAGCCACACUGGGACUGAGACACGGCCCAGACUCCUACGGGAGGCAGCAGGGGGGAAUUUUCCGCAAUGGGCGAAAGCCUGACGGAGCAAUACCGCGUGAGGGAAGAAGGCUCUUGGGUUGUAAACCUCUUUUCUUAGGGAAGAACAAAAUGACGGUACCUAAGGAAUCAGCAUCGGCUAACUCCGUG